rnacentral:lncRNA from 1 species
GUGGCUCAGAGGUAGAGCACUUGCCUACCACAUGUGAGGCCCUGGGUUUGAUCCUCAGCACCACAUAAAAGUAAAUAAAUAAAAUAAAGGUAUUAUGUCCAACUACAACUAAAAAAUAAAUAUUUUUAAAAAAAUUAUUCAAGGGCUGGGGGUGUAGCUCAGUGGUAGAGCCCUUGCCUAGCAUGUGUGAGGCACGGGGUUGGAUUCUCAGCACCACAUAUAAAUAAAUAAAGUCCAUUGACAACUAAAAAUAUUUUUAAAAAAUUUAUUUUAGUGCCUGUGACACUCACCCAACUAAAACUAGACUAUUCACAAAUAAGAAUUUAUCCUCAGUGUAUGGGUCUCCCUCCUGACACUCCAAGCUUGGAGUGCACAUUGGAACCUGGGAUCCAGAUGCCAUGAGGAUACCUGCUCUGUGCUAGGUUGAAUAGUGUCCCUAAAGGUUCAUAGCCAUCUGGAACCUCUGAAUCUGUUUUAUCGGGAAGCAGGAUCUUUGUAGUCAAAGGAAGUCAUCCUGACUUCCUUUUGUGGUGGACCCUAAUCCAAUGACUGGCAUCUCAUCAUAAGAAGAGACACACAGGGAUGCAGAGAGAAUCACAGGAGAAGACACACAGGGAGGGAAUGUUACUCAUGGACGGCAGCAGAGUUGAAGUGACGCAUCUGCCCAACAAUGCUGAGGAUUACUGGCAGCAUCCAGAACCUCCAAGAGGCAAAGAAGGAUCCUCUCCUAGAGACUGCAGAGGGGCCAUGGCCCAGCUGACAUCUGGAUUUCAAGCCUCUAGCCUGAG